rnacentral:lncRNA from 1 species
UAGAAUACUAUGAAUAGAUAAUUCUGGCCGGUGUCCCUCUGCGGACCGGGGUCAGGUCGCCGUCCCUCCUAUCCUGGGUCGGACGCGUAGCGGAAGGAAGGGAGGUGGCGGGGCCACGCCGUGAUGAUGAGGUCCGGCUCAUGAUCGGAUCGGGAGCUGGCCGUCCGACGUGGAGGAGAUGCCAGCGACGCUCCGGCGCCGCCCCACUUCCGCGGCCUUCGGGCGCCUCACUAUCGCUUUCGCUCUCUGGCUUGGCCAGGAAAGGACGGUUGAUUGCACCAGCUUUUGCACCCGCGCAGGCUCUCGGCAUCAUGAUGUGUGAUCUACCCAGAGAAGAAAAAGGAAAAGGGAGGAGGAGAACAUGGAUAAUGCUGUGGUACACAUGCUGGUUAGUGAAGCCAAAGGUGAAGAGAGAGAUUGGCAGGGAAAUGAUAGGCAAUGAAUUUUUGAUGGAAAGGUAGAGAAAAUAAUAUGUACG